GGAAGUUCUACUCAAUGGCGGCUCCUCAGUAACGUCAUGAGAUGGGCUGCUUGUGGUUGUCAAAACUGAUCUUCCCACUGCGGGUGAACACGUACGGCGGAUUGUUAUGGCUUAGGGCGCUUGACUGCACCGCUGUGAAAAUAUUCAGCAGAAUUCCACAAGCUCUUUGUUUGCCUUGCCUUAGUGGAAAUUCCUCCAGCUAUCCAAACACGCACCUGGGGGAGGUGUUUUUUUUUUCCCCCUCCACAUUUCAGGAAGGGGUUUCUUCUAAGUAAAAAUGUGUCCUUACCUCUCUUCUAAGUUCUCAGGCAAGACUUCUGGUUUGAGUUGAAGAUGACUAUGAAUGUGUUCUGGUUGGAAAGGGAGGUGGAGUUGGAGGAGCCGGAGAGGUCUGUAGCAAAUGUUCCUCCAACAGAGCUAAGCUGGGAAAAGGAAAGCCAAUGGAAGCCAACAAAGAAGGAAGCACGAAGCAAGGCUCCCCCAGAUUCCUAGAAGCCCAGGAACACAAAAGCCAGGAAGAUGAAUCGUCUUUUACAGUAGUAGACCUGUAUAUAGGAACGGGGAAGAUUCUAGGGUGAAAGAUCCGGGCUGCCGCUGGUCACCCAGAAGGGAGUAUGUACCUUGAGUUUCGUAACACGGAAUGGAAGUUUGGAGGCCCCUUGAAAAGAACCAAAGCACAAAGGAAGUUGGGCCUGAAGAAGGCUGGGAGACCUCUCACGCAGAGACCCAGGGCUCAGGACAGAGAAAGGAAGGUAGAACGCCAAGUGGAUCUCAUAUUUGCUCUGCGGGCUUCUGGGAAGUGUUUGAAAACAUUCUAUUUAAACUGUGCCUCUUAAGAGAGCUCUCCACUUACAUCUAACUCAGUGUGCUCAUAUUAGCAAAU
rnacentral:lncRNA from 1 species